rnacentral:rRNA from 1 species
UGGGGAAUAUUGGGCAAUGGGCGAAAGCCUGACCCAGCAACGCCGCGUGAAGGAAGAAGGCUUUCGGGUUGUAAACUUCUUUUAUGUGGGACGAAAAAAAUGACGGUACCACAUGAAUAAGCCACGGCUAACUACGUGCCAGCAGCCGCGGUAAUACGUAGGUGGCAAGCGUUGUCCGGAUUUACUGGGUGUAAAGGGCGCGUAGGCGGGAAUGCAAGUCAGAUGUGAAAUCCAUGGGCUCAACCCAUGAACUGCAUUUGAAACUACAUUUCUUGAGUGAUGGAGAGGCAAGUGGAAUUCCUAGUGUAGCGGUGAAAUGCGUAGAGAUUGGGAAGAACACCAGUGGCGAAGGCGACUUACUGGGCCGUAACUGACGUUGAGGCGCUAAAGCGUGGGGAGCGAACA